ACGCUGGCGGCGUGCCUAAUACAUGCAAGUCGAGCGAACGGACGAGAAGCUUGCUUCUCUGAUGUUAGCGGCGGACGGGUGAGUAACACGUGGAUAACCUACCUAUAAGACUGGGAUAACUUCGGGAAACCGGAGCUAAUACCGGAUAAUAUUUUGAACCGCAUGGUUCAAAAGUGAAAGACGGUCUUGCUGUCACUUAUAGAUGGAUCCGCGCUGCAUUAGCUAGUUGGUAAGGUAACGGCUUACCAAGGCAACGAUGCAUAGCCGACCUGAGAGGGUGAUCGGCCACACUGGAACUGAGACACGGUCCAGACUCCUACGGGAGGCAGCAGUAGGGAAUCUUCCGCAAUGGGCGAAAGCCUGACGGAGCAACGCCGCGUGAGUGAUGAAGGUCUUCGGAUCGUAAAACUCUGUUAUUAGGGAAGAACAUAUGUGUAAGUAACUGUGCACAUCUUGACGGUACCUAAUCAGAAAGCCACGGCUAACUACGUGCCAGCAGCCGCGGUAAUACGUAGGUGGCAAGCGUUAUCCGGAAUUAUUGGGCGUAAAGCGCGCGUAGGCGGUUUUUUAAGUCUGAUGUGAAAGCCCACGGCUCAACCGUGGAGGGUCAUUGGAAACUGGAAAACUUGAGUGCAGAAGAGGAAAGUGGAAUUCCAUGUGUAGCGGUGAAAUGCGCAGAGAUAUGGAGGAACACCAGUGGCGAAGGCGACUUUCUGGUCUGUAACUGACGCUGAUGUGCGAAAGCGUGGGGAUCAAACAGGAUUAGAUACCCUGGUAGUCCACGCCGUAAACGAUGAGUGCUAAGUGUUAGGGGGUUUCCGCCCCUUAGUGCUGCAGCUAACGCAUUAAGCACUCCGCCUGGGGAGUACGACCGCAAGGUUGAAACUCAUAGGAAUUGACGGGGACCCGCACAAGCGGUGGAGCAUGUGGUUUAAUUCGAAGCAACGCGAAGAACCUUACCAAAUCUUGACAUCCUUUGACAACUCUAGAGAUAGAGCCUUCCCCUUCGGGGGACAAAGUGACAGGUGGUGCAUGGUUGUCGUCAGCUCGUGUCGUGAGAUGUUGGGUUAAGUCCCGCAACGAGCGCAACCCUUAAGCUUAGUUGCCAUCAUUAAGUUGGGCACUCUAAGUUGACUGCCGGUGACAAACCGGAGGAAGGUGGGGAUGACGUCAAAUCAUCAUGCCCCUUAUGAUUUGGGCUACACACGUGCUACAAUGGACAAUACAAAGGGCAGCGAAACCGCGAGGUCAAGCAAAUCCCAUAAAGUUGUUCUCAGUUCGGAUUGUAGUCUGCAACUCGACUACAUGAAGCUGGAAUCGCUAGUAAUCGUAGAUCAGCAUGCUACGGUGAAUACGUUCCCGGGUCU
rnacentral:rRNA from 1 species